rnacentral:misc_RNA from 1 species
AAAAUAUGGGAGGUUUGUAAUCCUGAAUACGUUAGUUUGAUGAGAUUUUGGUGAUUAGUUAUCACCAAUGAUCAAAUUUCAAAAACCUCUAGAUCGACAAAUUUCGAGUUGAGUGGUUGUGCUUUUUGUCAAUGAAAGUACUCGUCAAAUGUAGAAAUAAAAAAGGUGCGCCUUUCUAGCCUUGGGCCUGGAACAAGGCGCACGCAUAGACACAUAAGGCGAGGGCAUGGUGAAUUUCGCUUGCCUUUCUCUUGUAGAGGCGUUAGGCCUGGAGCCUAGUGAGCCUGGAGCCUGAGACAUAACUUUAAUAAUUAUGCUUAAGUCUGAUAGUUCACAAUUGAAACUCAUUAAGCUCAUUAAUCUUCUAUUCAAAUCAAAACUGAGCAAACUAAUAGUGCAAUAAAAUUUUCAAACCUUCCCCAAAACAAUAAUAAAAUUUUAAAAUUUUCACCUUAUCUUGAUACAUUUUAUGAUCUAUAACUAAUAAGAUGUCUCCCUUUCAUGAAAUAUUAAAAUAUCUCCUCUCUCAACAGACUCAACAAUUAUUUUACAUCUACUCUCUUACAUUAUUUAUUUUCGUUCUUUUUCUUGUCAAAAUUAAGAACUGGUACCUGGCCACCAAAGCAGAGUCCCAGGAGCUGGUCAGAUAUAAGACAGUUACCUGUUUCUCUAAUUCUUCAGCAACGCCCUCAAAAAGAUCUCUAGGUGUUGAACCAGAGGUGUUUGUUGCAACAGCAUGAUAUUGAGGCAAGUCCUUAACCUUAGGACAAUAAUCAUGCCAGUGAGUUUUUGCAGUAAGAGACCCAUCAGCAACAUGGUCUUCCAACAAUUUACAAAACGCAUCACGAUUUUUGCGCUCAGCCCGUCUCAGUUGCUCCUUUUAUUUGGUUAAAAAAAAAAUGAAUGAAGAUAUGAACAUAAUCUCAAAUGCAUUAAAGAUCAUGCAAAUGGAUCUACCUUCUGUAUCUUCUUUUGCUCCUCUGCUUCCUUCUCCAGGUCACGAAUAUAAUCCUGGAAAAUGAGUAGGUGGUCAAGUUUUCCAAGACGCAAGCACCUUUCAUCAUCCUCCAAGCAACCUUGAACUUUCCGCCAUGGGCUAUUGACCUUAAUGAAAUCACAGGAUUCCAGAAAUUUCCUAUACUCUGCUACAUUCCGCCUGUGGUCCUCUGCAGCCUUUUCCCUUUCCUUCCUUCCAAGUUCCACAAUGUAGUUGUCAAAAAAAAAUCCUCCCGAUCUCUUGUUUUCUCAACAGCCUUGAACCGCUCAUCAUUUUCAAACAAACUUAUGGCUUUGCUGAUUGAACAAAAGGUUCAGCUAAAACAUUUAUUCAACAAACUGCCUAUCUAGGGUCAUAAACUACACUGAUAGUAGAGGUGGUGAUUCUAAGUUCUAACCCAACCAAAACCCACUCAAAAAAAUAUAUAUAUAUUAUGGACAAAAUCUGCCCAAACCCAUACUAAACCUGAAUGACCAAAAUAUGAGGGUUGAAGCAAAGUAACCCAAAUGAACUGAAAUAAUUUAUUUUAAAAUAGGAAAAAAAAGAUGAAAUUUAAGAAAAUAAAAAUAAUAAUUUCAAAAAUUACAAAAAGGAUCCAUAGAGACUAUAAAUGGAUCCCCAAAAGUCAACUCGUUCGGUUUCCUGAACCAACCCAAAAACCAAAGUUACCCAAACACUAAAAAGGUCAAAGUGAUUUUAACCAGAUUGUCACCUCUACUACACAUGGAAAGCCUAGGGUUAAAAUAGAACUUCACACAGAAUAGGUACAAAUUUAAACCUCCAUUUCAUGGCUAAUGUGACUUCCUUGGAC